rnacentral:rRNA from 1 species
UACGUAGGGUGCAAGCGUUAAUCGGAAUACUGGGCGUAAAGCGUGCGCAGGCGGUUAUGUAAGACAGAUGUGAAAUGCCCGGGCUUAACCUGGGAACUGCAUUUGUGACUGCAUGGCUAGAGUUUGGCAGAGGGGGUAGAAUUCCACGUGUAGCAGUGAAAUGCGUAGAUAUGUGGAGGAACACCGAUGGCGAAGGCAGCCCCCUGGGUCAAGACUGACGCUCAUGCACGA